UCGGUUAAACAUACAAAUUAAAAAUUAGUAUUAUUAUUAUUAGCUUCAAAUCAAAUAAAUCAAAUAUGGGCUCAUUCAUUCAUACACUCUUAACCAUAAUAUUUUAUUAUUUCAACACAAUAAACAACAUUAUAGAAUCCCGUGAGCUUAGCUUAGUUGGUAGGGAUAUUGCAUAUUAUAUGCAGGAGCUGGGGUUCGAACCCCGGAUACUCCACUUCUCCACAAUUAUAUUGUGUAAGCUCUAGCCACUAGCCUACUUAACCAAAAAAAAAAAAACAACACUACAGAAAAGUUAAAAAUGACACGAAAGAAAACAAAAAACUGCUCCUAACAAUCGAAGGAAGGCAGCACCAUUUAAGGCUUUUCU
rnacentral:lncRNA from 1 species